GAUGAACGCUGGCGGCGUGCCUAAUACAUGCAAGUCGAGCGAACAGACGAGGAGCUUGCUCCUCUGACGUUAGCGGCGGACGGGUGAGUAACACGUGGAUAACCUACCUAUAAGACUGGGAUAACUUCGGGAAACCGGAGCUAAUACCGGAUAAUAUAUUGAACCGCAUGGUUCAAUAGUGAAAGACGGUUUUGCUGUCACUUAUAGAUGGAUCCGCGCCGCAUUAGCUAGUUGGUAAGGUAACGGGUUACCAAGGCAACGAUGCGUAGCCGACCUGAGAGGGGGAUCGGCCACACUGGAACUGAAACGCGGUCCAGGCUCCUACGGUAGGCAGCAGUAGGGAAUCGUCCGCAAAGGGCGAAAGCCUGACGGAGCAACGCCGCGUGAGUGAUGAAGGUCUUCGGAGCGUAAAACUCUGUUAUGAGGGAAGAACAAAUGUGUAAGUAACUAUGCACGUCUUGACGGUACCUAAUCAGAAAGCCACGGCUAACUACGUG
rnacentral:rRNA from 1 species